rnacentral:rRNA from 1 species
GACGAACGCUGGCGGCGUGCUUAACACAUGCAAGUCGAACGGAAAGGCUCCAGCUUGCUGGCGCACUCGAGUGGCGAACGGGUGAGUAACACGUGGGUAAUCUGCCCCGCACUCUGGGAUAAGCCUGGGAAACUGGGUCUCUUACUGGAUAUGACUUUUCUCCUUAUGGGGUUUGGUGGAAAGUUUUUCGGUUUAGGAUGAGUCCGCGGCCUAUCAGCUUGUUGGUGGGGUGAUGGCCUACCAAGGCGACGACGGGUAGCCGGCCUGAGAGGGUGAUCGGCCACAUUGGGACUGAGAUACGGCCCAGACUCCUACGGGAGGCAGCAGUGGGGAAUAUUGCACAAUGGGCGGAAGCCUGAUGCAGCGACGCCGCGUGAGGGAUGACGGCCUUCGGGUUGUAAACCUCUGUCAGCAGGGACGAAGCGUAAGUGACGGUACCUGCAGAAGAAGCACCGGCUAACUAUGUG